CGAACUGCAAGUGUGCGGAGUGGAUGCGGACUUCUAUUUGUCACCGUUAGAUUCCUUGUACGUUGUAGAUUUAAAACAUCAUUGAGAACUUCUAUUUCUAUCAAACCUUUUCAGUCUUUUGGUAAGAGCCAAAAUUUCCCGCUUAAUCCUCCAAUAUACUAACCUCUGUUUCUUUCUUCCACCACAACACCUUCUCUUCCCUGUGCUAUCAUCCCUGGCAAUAUCACAGCUGCUCCUCCGGGUUAUAAUAUUUUUAUUUCUUCUUUUCAACACCUUCUCUUCAGUGUGCUCUCAUCCCUAGCAAUAUCACAACUGCUCCUCCAGGUUUUGUUGGAAAUCUUGAAGGUUGGAAUCGGAAAAACAGACAGCACUGAUAUGAAACUUUAGAGAUGGGAAGCCCACAAGAAUGACUCGGGACAUAUGAAUUUAUGGAAGAUACUAAUGAAAAUAUAUGUGGAAGCAAUAAUGAAAAUGCAACUAGUAGUUAUCUUUCACCACAUUUGAAUGACCCUCUUCAAGUAAGGGCGAAGGGCUGCGGUAAAAGAUUGAAGGGAGGAAAAGAGAAAGCAAUGAAUAAGAGUAAACGUCAUUGCCAUGGGUGUGGACAAACAGGACAUGACAGAAGAACUAGUACAACUCACAUUAAUCAGUCCUCUUUGUGCAAGGAUGCAGAAAAUAUUUCACCCAAUAUCAAUAAUGGUUCUGUGAAGUAAUAGUCGAUGCUUGUGGAAAUUGAACUUUGAAUGUAGUUGUGGCUGGAUUAGUUCAUUAUUGUUCAAGCUAUAAUUUUGUAUGAAGCUGAAAUUUUGUACUUGUACACACAACGUCAAUUAUUGUUGUAGCUUCAAUUCCUUUGUCUUGUAAUGGAGU